rnacentral:rRNA from 1 species
GGCCGCGGGAAUUCGAUUCAGGCCUAACACAUGCAAGUCGAGCGGUAGAGAGAAGCUUGCUUCUCUUGAGAGCGGCGGACGGGUGAGUAAUGCCUAGGAAUCUGCCUGGUAGUGGGGGAUAACGUUCGGAAACGGACGCUAAUACCGCAUACGUCCUACGGGAGAAAGCAGGGGACCUUCGGGCCUUGCGCUAUCAGAUGAGCCUAGGUCGGAUUAGCUAGUUGGUGAGGUAAUGGCUCACCAAGGCUACGAUCCGUAACUGGUCUGAGAGGAUGAUCAGUCACACUGGAACUGAGACACGGUCCAGACUCCUACGGGAGGCAGCAGUGGGGAAUAUUGGACAAUGGGCGAAAGCCUGAUCCAGCCAUGCCGCGUGUGUGAAGAAGGUCUUCGGAUUUAAAUCAAAGGAAGUUGGGAGGAAGGGCAUUAACCUAAUACGUUAGGUUUGA